GACGAACGCUGGCGGCGUGCUUAACACAUGCAAGUCGAACGAAGUGGCGAACGGGUGAGUAACGCGUAAUCAACCUGCCCUUCAGAGGGGCACAACAGUUUGACACGACUGCUAAUACCGCAUACUGAAGGUGGGGCUUGCGUCGGAUUAGCUAGUUGGGGGGGUAACGGCCCACCAAGGCGAUGAUCAGUAGCCGGGCUGAGAGGAGGAACGGCCACAUUGGGACUGAGACACGGCCCAGACUCCUACGGGAGGCAGCAGUGGGGAAUCUUCCGCAAUGGACGAAAGUCUGACGGAGCAACGCCGCGUGAGUGAUGACGGCCUUCGGGUUGUAAAGCUCUGUUAAUCGGGACGCGGUACCGGAAUAGAAAGCACCGGCUAACUCCGUGCCAGCCGCCGCGGUAAUUC
rnacentral:rRNA from 1 species